rnacentral:rRNA from 1 species
UACGUAGGGUGCAAGCGUUGUCCGGAAUUAUUGGGCGUAAAGAGCUCGUAGGCGGUUCGUCGCGUCGGCUGUGAAAACCUGAGGCUCAACCUCAGGCCUGCAGUCGAUACGGGCGGACUUGAGUACUGCAGGGGAGACUGGAAGUUCCUGGUGUAGCGGUGAAAUGCGCAGAUAUCAGGAGGAACACCAAUGGCGAAGGCAGCUCACUGGGACGGUACUGACGCUGAGACGCGAAAGCGUGGGGAGCGAACAGG